GUCUGGCUAACAGUGGACGAAAAUUACAUGCUACUUGUUAACCACUUGAGCUAUGUAGGCGGUAACAAAACAUCAGCAAUAUUAAGGAGGAUUCUUGAAAAACUGUUUUCAAACAAACUUGCGGAAAUCUGUAAUUGGUCAGGCAAAAAUGGAAAACAUAAGCUACAAGAUCACCUUUUAAUUAAAGUUGUUACUGAAGCUCUCCGUCGGCACAAAGUCGCCGAAACGGCUACAGAAAACGAGAUAAAGACCGUGGUUAGCAACUGGUUCCGCUUCUCCAAAGAUAGAGAUGGAGGUCGAGAAAGCAGACGCAGGACAAUUGAGCCAACUUCUAUCCAGCAAUAAUCAACGUUACACAGGGCUGUCAACUAGAAAUAAGAAAAGACAUUUAGCCUUAAAGAUACAAGAAAUAUCUGUAGAGUUAAACGGGCUCAGUGGGGAAACUAGUCCACCUAAUCAACCAUAUACUGUAGAUGUCGGUAACAGUAA